ensembl:lncRNA
AGGAUGCCAAAAUGACCCCUGAAAGGCACACUGAACUCCUAAGUGACCAUUUCCUACCAUUAUCUAUACAGCAUUUAAUCUUCAUUAGGGUCGCGGGGGGGCUGGAGUCUAUCCCAGCUGACUUAGGGCAAAGGCAGGGGACACCUGGACAGGUAACAGUCUAUCACAGGGCUACAUAUAGAGACAAACAAUCACACUUGCAUUCACACCUACGGACAAUUUAGAAUUAUCAACUAACUUCAGCCUGUUUUUGAACUGUGAGGAAGCCGGAGUAAAUCCAUGCAUGCACAGGGGGAACAUGUAAAUUCCAUGCGGAAAGAUCCUGGGAAGGCCGGGAAGCGAACCAGGGAUCUUCUCGUUGCAAGGAGAAAGUGCUAACCACCGAGCUACUGUGUAUCCUUCCUACCAUUAUAAAAAGAAGAAUCAAGCCUUUUGGAUAGAAAUUGUUUCCAUGCAGGAAAAUGCUUCACAGAAAACAAAAAAAAAACAAACAAAAAAAACAAAACACUGUUGCUAUGGAAGUAAAAGAAGAAAAAAAAUCACUGUGUAGUGACCAUCAUUCCCUGACCUCAACCCUACUGAGGACCUGUGGAGCAUUCUUAAAACAAAAAUCCAUGAGGGUGGGCGGCAGUCUCCCUCGAAACAGCAGCUCUGGGAGAAAUACACUGUAAUGAAAUACAGGCAAAAACUACACACAGACCAAAAGUUUAAAGGACGGGAUGUUAUAAGUUGGCAUUUAGCAUCAACAAAGACGAAUGUAUAGUACUGGUGUUGUCAAAAUGCCACCCACCGCAAUUUUUGAUCAUGAGGCUAUUUUCUGAUUUUUAAUAAAUAAUCACUUCAAGAAUCCUUUCCUUUCCCGAUGGGGCAUUGCAUUUCAGUCUGAAAUGGUUCAUCCCUGCUGAAACUGAGGACCACACUUGGGAAUUUCCUGUAUAAAUGAUAGACAACACUUAAAUAAAUCAUUGUGUAAUAUGUUGUGACAUAUAUUUCUUUCAUACACUGACUUAUUU